GAUGAAGAACGUAGUGAAAUGCGAUAAGUAAUGCGAAUUGCAGAAUCCGUGAGUCAUCGAAUCUUUGAACGCACAUUGCGCCCUCUGGUAUUCCGGGGGGCAUGCCUGUUCGAGCGUCAUUAUCACCCCUCAAGCCUUUGGUUUGGCGUUGGGCUCCCCGGUUGUUAUCAGUCGGCGGCCUCAAAUAUAAUGACGGCGUCCCCGUGAGACUCGACGCACUGAGCUUUUGCAAGCACGCGUCGUAGCGCUCCGGGUCGACCCGGUCUCAAUCUUUUAAAUUUUAUCAAGGUUGACCUCGGAUCAGGUAGGGAUACCCGCUGAACUUAAGCAUAUCAAUAGCGGAGGA
rnacentral:misc_RNA from 1 species